rnacentral:lncRNA from 1 species
GUGAAAUCCUAGGUCAUUCUCUUCUCUUGACUUGACUUUUCCUCUUCUGCAGAAGAACAAUAUAAGGAUUAUGGUGAAUUGCCAGAGCUGGGAAAAGAUAGUCUGUAUACGCAAAUAUGUUAAGUGAGAAUUUUUCUGUUGUUAAAAGCUUGGUCAGAGAUCCCAGUGGAUUCCUGUGGAAAGGGUACCAUAGGGGAUGACAGAGUGAGCUAUGAUGCAGAGUCCACCAGUUCGAAGAAGGGUCAUAGACUGAC